rnacentral:misc_RNA from 1 species
GCUCGUCGCGCUUCGGCGCGACAGCAGGCGCCGCGAAUUCGCCUCUCGUGGCUUCGGCUCCGCUCGGUCGGUCGGUCUGCUCCGAGGGCCGGCCGGAGAAAUCCGUCAGUAUGUGCCGCGCUGCCUUGCCGGCGAGUCUCACGUAGCUACUAGGUAUCUACUAUUCUUUCUCCCGCUCCCGGCUGUUGUCAAGUCCGAGAGUUCGCUGUUCGCAACAGUCGCGAAGCGCGCGAUUCCGCCGUGACUCCUGUGUGACAAUUCGCAAAAGAUCCUUCUUCCCGCGAGCUCUCUCCGCGCGAGUCUCUCGUACGCGCUCGUUCUGCGCUUCCUCUUGUCCCGCGCUUGCUCGGCCGCGAGACGAAGAAAAGACGAGGAGGAGAGCAGGUGAGACUGAGACUACUCUGUGCCGACGUGUCCGAGGAAGCUCCGUUCGCGGGCGAGUCAAGCGGCGCGAAACGAUCGAAGGAUCGCGGCGAUACACGCGAAGCGACAGCUCGCCGGCGACGAGGAUACCGUCUUAUCGAUGAGAGAUACCAGGGGGUACGGUCUCCCGAGGGCAACCAGGGCAGCAGAGGUCAGUGCGGCGAUCGUCGCUCGCGCGGCAUCGGUCGCCGACGCCGAAAAUCGCGCAGCCACCGUCGCCGACCAACAGGAUUCUUCGCCGCGCAAAUUUCGCCGCGACGUCACGACGAGCGCGUAGAUCCAUUCGCGCAGCGGGCCAAGUGCCUAUCAAAACAUGGCCACGUGACCCCGACGGCACGGCUUGUAAACACUGAGUUUGACCACGUGGUCUGCUCCCUCUCUCCGCCGUCGAGCGCCUGUCCGUCUCUCGCUCCCUCUCUCCUCUCUCCUUCCCUUCCUCUUUCUCUCUUUCCCUCUCUCUCUCCUCUCUCUCUAUCUAUCUCUAUCUCUAUCUCUCUUUGGUACACUCUUCCGUCUCUCUCUGUUUCGUUACGCCGCCUCGCGCUUCAACCUCGUCUCAUUCUCUCUCUCUCUCUCUCUUUUUCUCCCCCUCCCCCCUCUCUCUCUCUCUCUCUGUUCCCCUUCCUCUCACCUAUCUCUCUUUCUUGUACCAUCUAUCUGUUCCUCCGCCUCCUCUUCGCCGUAUCGGCCGCCUCUCGUUCGCCUUCUCCGACCGUCUCACUCUAGCCCUCGCGCUCUUUCGGCACGCAGAACGGCGCCGGGCAGAAUCCUCAGUUAGUUCGCCGCCGCCGACAACCGCACGCGAGCGUACGCGCGAUUCGGACGAUACUCCGACGACUCCAAGCUGGUCUCUUGCGAGCGCCGAUAAGCGCGCGUCGCGACGUCGCUGUCGUCGUCAUCGUCGUCGUUGUCAUCGUCGUGUGAUAUCGCGUCGAUCUCGUUGACCGAGUCCGCGCUCGAUCGAUCGGUCGAUCGGUGGGUGGGUGAUGUGUUGAAAAAAACCGCAGUGUCGGCCAAGAGCGAACUCGGGAGAUUUAUAUAUCACAUACGUAAAAGAAGAAAGGAGAGGAGAGAGAGAGAAAGAGAGAGAGAGAGAAAGAAAGAAAGAAAGCAUUGCGUUACACGCGAAUUACGCGUGCGAAGCCGUCGUUCCGAAGCCGGUGCGAACGAGCGCUACCGCGAGCCUUCGCUCGCAGCGAGGACGUACGAAGGCCGUCGUUGUACACACACACACGCACACGCACACACACACACACACACACACACAUCUACACGUUGUACACACGCGCCUACACGCAUACGUGCGCAGCCGUACACACACGCACACCCUCACACAUUCACUCACAUACACUAGAAAAAAAAGACACGUGCACACGCACGCACACGGACGCACACGAAAGCGCGUCUGGUGAUAGUGCGCGACGAAAACGUGACUCGGGUCGUUCCUCUCUCUCACGCGCGCGCGCGCGCGCGCGCGCAACCAGCUUCUCGUCGUUGCCGAUCGUAGACGGGGCGUCAUCGCUUCACCGCGGGUUCCUCGCGCAUCUCGGUUCGAUCGCGAACCUCAAGUUCGCGGAGCGACGCGGGAAGCAUGAUGGAUUCGGUGCCGGUCUCGGCCUCGGGUUCGCUGAUCCCGUCGCUGCAGCAGCAGCAGCAGCAACAACAGCAACAGCAGCAGCAGCAGCAGCAACAGCAACAGCAACAACAGCAGCAACAGAAGAAGGGAGUCUCCUUCGAGUUCUCCAACUCGCCGGACCUGGAGACCGGCUUCGAGCCGCAGACUCGCGCGAGAUCCAACACAUGGCCGUUGCCGAGACCCGAAGAAUACGUGGAAGGCAACGCACCGGCCGCCAAGGAGGGUGCCGAAGGCGGCACACCACCCCAUCAGACUCAACUGGCUCAGGGUGGUCUCCUGCCGGUGAAGAAGAAUUCAUCCCGAAGGAACGCCUGGGGUAACCUGAGCUACGCCGACCUCAUCACCCAGGCGAUCACCAGCGCGCCCGAUCAACGGCUCACCCUGUCGCAAAUCUACGACUGGAUGGUGACGAACGUGCCCUACUUCAAGGACAAGGGUGACAACAACAGCAGCGCCGGCUGGAAGAAUUCCAUACGCCACAACCUGUCGCUGCACAACAGGUUCAUACGGACGCAGAACGAAGGUACGGGCAAGAGUUCCUGGUGGAUGAUCAAUCGCGAUGCCAAACCUGGCAAGUCUGCUCGUCGCAGAGCCACAACGAUGGAGAGCACUGGUAGCCUGGAGAAAAGACGCGGCCGCUCGAAGAAGAUCGCCGACGCUCUGAGGAACGGCGCGCUGCUGGCGGAACCCACUUCCAGUCCCAGCAGCAGCGUCGGGGAAGGUCUCGACAUCUACCCGGACAGCCCUCUACCCGCCAGCGGAUUUCAGCUCUCGUCUGACACGUUCCGUCCUCGCGCCUCGAGUAACGCGUCCUCCUGCGGCCAACUGAGCCCGAUCCCGGCGGUUCUCGGGGAGCCGGACUGGACACCGACCUAUGCGCCUUCUUACAGCCCGGAACAACAGUUAGCAGACUCGAUCCUAGCAGGCAACCUGGCGGAGACGAUGAAGUUGGAGUCGUACCAAAUGUAUCAGACGUCACCGCCCGGCCACCAGCAGCAGCAACCAGCCCCGCCGUCUUACUUCGAGUACCAGAGGAACAACGGCCUACGCACCCCGUCAUCCUUCGGCCUGCCACCCACCCCGCAGUCGGCCAAUCAGCAGAGAUGCCCGCUUCACGGCCUGCAGCCGUGCGCUUGUCAGAUGACCCAACAGCGUCAGCAGCAGCAGCAGCAGCAGCAGCAACAGCAGCAGCAGCAACAGCAGCAGCAGCAACAGCAGCAGCAACAGCAGCAGCAACAGCAGCAGCAACACCAGUCAGCACAGACUGGACCAGCAGGUCCCAGCCCGCCCAACACACCGACACCUUGCCCAGCUACGCCCAGCACUAUGAUGGGCCAGCUGAUGGGCGCCCUCAAUCAUUCCGCCCUUCUCGAUGAUCUCAACAUCAACAUCGAGGCGAUGCACGGCGCCUUCCACUGCAACGUCGACGAAGUGAUCAAGCACGAGCUGUCGAUAGAGGGCACGCUGGACUUCAACUUCCAGCAGGGCGUCAUGGGCACCGCCGCGAUCCAGGUGAGCGACGGCAACAUCGGCCAGAACGGCGCCGUCAGCCAGAACAGCGACAUCGUCGUCGGCACGACGACCAGCAACACACCUGCGGCCGUCUACGUCAGUGCGAACGCGGCGACCCCCGCGGCGCCCCCCUCGUGGGUUCACUAGCAGUUAACCCCCCUGCCCUCGACACCCCCAUCGUCCUUGCCGAUGCCGUUGUCCGACGGGCGGGAUAACUUCUGCGGGACGACCGAAGGGCAGCUCAUCGACGUUCGGCAUGUCGAGGACGAAAGGGUGAACCGUCGACUUGUGAUAAGAUAUAGACAUAAUGAUGCAAGAAUAAGACGAAAUACGUACUUCAAGAAUGCCAAUUUACGCUAGUGCGAUUGUGGUGCGAGAAACUAGAACGCCGGUGGCGCGAUCAACGUCGGCGAGGGCGUUUCAUCGUUUCAUCAACGUCCGCAGCCUCUUCUUCGGCAAGCUGCUGCUCAAAAUAGAGACCGGAGAUGUGCUGGCGACGACUGCGAGGUUACGGGCUUUCGCGAGAUCGCGCGCGAGAAUACUUGCACGGCGGACCGGUCAAUCGUUCGACUGUGAGUCGAGGGUUUCGAAGGUUUCGGUGAAAUCUCGCAAGAAUAUUAUUUCUCUCGUUAGAUAGGCAAUUAACUCCUUGUAAUUAGCGACAAUUCGCGGAAACGAUACGAAAAA